rnacentral:tRNA from 1 species
GUGUCUGAAGUCAAAGAGGUCGAGACGCUAGUUUGUGAAGCUAGAUAUUAGCGGGUUCAAGUCCCGUCAGACACC